GGCCAUUUGGCGCAAUGGUAGCGCGUGCGCCUCCUACUGAUGUGAUAUGUCAGCUGACAUGAUCAUGUUAUGGUGGUAGCGCAAGGUUGCGAGUUUGAGCCUCAUGAUAGUUG